UACGUAGGGCGCAAGCGUUGUCCGGAAUUAUUGGGCGUAAAGGGCUCGUAGGCGGUUUGUCGCGUCGGGAGUGAAAACGCCGUGCUUAACACGGCGCUUGCUUUCGAUACGGGCAGACUAGAGGUAUGCAGGGGAGAACGGAAUUCCUGGUGUAGCGGUGAAAUGCGCAGAUAUCAGGAAGAACACCCGUGGCGAAGGCGGUUCUCUGGAACGCAACUGACGCUGAGACGCGAAAGCGUGGGGAGCAAACAGG
rnacentral:rRNA from 1 species